UUCACUUUUCUAGUUGUUCAUAAUUAUUGUCAAGAUAUUUCACAGUAGAUAAACAAAAAAAAAUGAUUUGGAAAAUUAUACUUUUGUUGCCGUGUUUUGAAGUUUUAGUAAACGCUGGUUGCAUUCAAACGAGUGGGAGAAAUUCUUCAACACAGACGGACGAGCAUGGCCAUUUGGAUAAUAAUUAUGCUUUGGCCGAAGCACCGGCACCGCAUGCAACAAUUGAAGGUUGGCUAGAAUCCUUACAACGUCAGGAUUAUAUAAAUUGGUCUUUUUUGGAUAAAACACCUAGU